AUUGAACGCUGGCGGCAGGCUUAACACAUGCAAGUCGAGCGAGCGGCGGACGGGUGAGUAAUGUAUGGGGAUCUGCCCGAUAGAGGGGGAUAACUACUGGAAACGGUGGCUAAUACCGCAUACUAUCGGAUGAACCCAUAUGGGAUUAGCUAGUGGGUGGGGUAAAGGCUCACCAAGGCGACGAUCCCUAGCUGGUCUGCGAGGAUGAUCAGCCACACUGGGACUGAGACACGGCCCAGACUCCUACGGGAGGCAGCAGUGGUGAAUAUUGCACAAUGGGCGCAAGCCUGAUGCAGCCAUGCCGCGUGUAUGAAGAAGGCCUUAGGGUUGUAAAGUACUUUCAGCGGGGAGGCGGUACCCGAAGAAGAAGCACCGGCUAACUCCGUGCCAGCAGCCGCGGUAAUAC
rnacentral:rRNA from 1 species